ensembl:misc_RNA 7SK 7SK RNA
GAAUUUGAGGGUGACCUGGCUGUGACAAGCCACCCCACUGAUCACCAGUGUUUUUUUCAACUGAUCUUACUGGCUUUCUGGGUGUACCCUUUUCUCCUCCACAGUUCUGUAUCUGUCCUUCCUGAAGCAGAGCGCUCGGUCAAAAAGGACACUCUUUUUUUAAAAUGUUAAAGAACUUUCUAUGUUGCUUUCUCUUUAGGUAAGUAUCCCAUUUCCAGUUUAUCUGAAGUUCCUAGAAUUGAAAAAUGGUACUGGAAAAUUAAUAAUGGAAAUGAGAUCCUUUGCUUUAGAGUUCUUAUUGCAAAAAAUC